rnacentral:rRNA from 1 species
UACGGAGGGGGCUAGCGUUGUUCGGAAUUACUGGGCGUAAAGCGCGCGUAGGCGGACCUGCAAGUCGGGGGUGAAAGCCCGAGGCUCAACCUCGGAACUGCCUUCGAUACUGCGGGUCUCGAGUCCGGGAGAGGUGAGUGGAAUUCCUAGUGUAGAGGUGAAAUUCGUAGAUAUUAGGAAGAACACCAGUGGCGAAGGCGGCUCUCUGGACCGAGACUGACGCUGAGGCGCGAAAGCGUGGGGAGCAAACAGG